ACAGAUUUUUUUGAUUAUGUAGAUUUUUUUUUUCCCCUAUUGCAGUUUCAUAUGCAAAGCAUGCAUCAGCCACAUCCAUGCUAUCUCCUAAAGCAGUCAUUCUGAAACCCAAUCUGGGGACAGUGCAGACUAAAUAAAAUUUCAUUUUGAUUUGGCCUCCCGCUGAGAAUGGGACUGCUUUGUUUCAGCCGACAGAACCAGCAAGCCAGAAAGGUGUUGAAUACACAAAUACUGAAUUAACGGAUAAUUAUGGUCAUUGUGGUGGAGGAAAUAUUUUUAUCCAGGCCUCAGGAAAUGGUGGUCUGGCUAGCAAAUGCAGUGGUGUGAAUGGUUACAUGAAGAGUAUCUACUUGAGGCAAAGCAUGCCAUCGCUUACCUCUGCCCCAAUACUCCUGAACUACAAGACCUAAUCAAUGUCAGUGGCCACCUGGAAAUUCCCAGUGAGGAAGGACUAUGGCAGCUACUACCCUGAAAACAAACCUUCAUUCUGGAGUGAGGUGAGUCAGUAAUGUGUUACCACAGAACUUUAGAGGUGGAAGUACUUCAGUAUUCAAAGACACAUCCAGCACCGGGCCUUUUAACUGCCGUUGUCAUUGCUCUGGCUCUUCCACCCAAGUAAGGAUGAUAUAUGUCUUGUUUUCAGCUCACAUGACAAAGAUAUGACACUUUUGUCACUGAUUCUUAAGAAAAACUGUAUGAGUCAAAUUACAAUCGCAACAAAAGUUAGAACAAAGCCCUCUUUCUUGUUGAAACAGUUUGCUGUUUACUGGCUUUUUGCUUAGCUGGUGGUACAGUACAUAGCCUGCAAAUAGAUGAAAUACAUUUUAGAUGCAUGAAAGAAAAAAUACUAUUUAAAACCAUAAGAUUCCUUUAGGAAAAUAAUUAGAGGCAGCUAUCAUCAUUAACUCUGGAAUACAUAACUCUUCCCAUUCUUAAUAAAAAGUGAUCCUUAAUAAAAAGUGAAUGCAGUUGCAUGCCACAGUAUUAAAGAAUAUAUGAGUUAAAUAUCUUCCUGCUUCAAAGAUGCGUGGCCUAAAACCUGAAAAAUUACAGUAUACUCAAAUGAUCAUAAAGGACUGACUUCACUGACCAUUUCUUUGUGUUUGGGGGAUAGAUUUCUGCAUGGCAUAAUAUUUCCACUUGCAUUGGUUUCCUGGCAUGAAAAUGUUUAUUGCACUCAUUAGCUAAGAGGAUGUCGGCACUGGUCCAAUGAACACAGAUCUGCCUUCUGAUUUCAGCCAUUAAAUUGCAAUGGGAUUCACAGGCUUAACAUUGUGGGUGUGAGAAUAAUAAAAUGGAGCUCCAUCUUUAGCCCAGUUACCAUGGAUGCAGUUAAAGGUCAUAGUGGCAGCUGCUAACUAGUUGCCUUUUUAGCUGUAUUUCCCCUCCUGCUAUGUGUUUUUGUGUACCUUAGUUUCUGCAGGUCUGCCUUAGAGCAAUUCCACUUCCUUAACUUGGCAUAUGGGUGUCUUCCUCAACAUGAUGGGUGCAUUGCCAUAAACACGGUUGCUGCCGGCAUCCCUUUAUUGAUUUUUUUUUUGUGUUUUAAUGGAAAAUGACUGUAAAGACCUUAACAAAAAAAUGGAAAUGCAGCCUGCUCAGCAUCCCAAAUUAUUUCUAUUUUCUGCACUCUGCUUCACGUUCCUAACUUGGGGGAGAAAAAAGAAAAA